GGGCCCGUAGCUCAGUUGGGAGAGCGCUGCCUUCGCAUGGCAGAGGCCACGAGUUCGAGUCUCGUCGGGUCCA
rnacentral:tRNA from 3 species